rnacentral:lncRNA from 1 species
AAUGUUUUAUGAUUUCAUUGAUUGUAUGAUUUUGAUUUUCAAAUAUGAUUUGGGGGUUUUGAUAUUAAAUGGUUUGUUAUAGUUUCCCAUAGUUUAAAUUAUCCUUUUUUAUGAAUUAAUGGUGGUUUUUGAUAAUUGGAUUAUAUAUGAAUGGUUUAAUGACAAUUGAAAUUGGUUUUGAUCAUAUUAUGCCCCUAAUCUGUUUAGCAAAGUGCUUAUAAA